rnacentral:rRNA from 1 species
UUCCAGACUCCUACGGGAGGCAGCAGUGGGGGAUAUUGCACAAUGGGGGAAACCCUGAUGCAGCGACGCCGCGUGGGCGAAGAAGUAUUUCGGUAUGUAAAGCCCUAUCAGCAGGGAAGAAGAAAUGACGGUACCUGAGUAAGAAGCACCGGCUAAAUACGUGCCAGCAGCCGCGGUAAUACGUAGGGGGCAAGCGUUAUCCGGAUUUACUGGGUGUAAAGGGAGCGUAGACGGCAAUGCAAGCCAGAUGUGAAAGCCCGGGGCUCAACCCCGGGACUGCAUUUGGAACUGUGUAGCUGGAGUGUCGGAGAGGCAGGCGGAAUUCCUGGUGUAGCGGUGAAAUGCGUAGAUAUCAGGAGGAACACCGGUGGCGAAGGCGGCCUGCUGGACUGCAACUGACGUUGAGGCCCGAAAGCGUGGGGAGCAAACAGGAUUAGAUACCCGAGUA